rnacentral:rRNA from 1 species
CAGCCGCCGCGGGAAUACGUAGGGUGCAAGCGUUAAUCGGAAUUACUGGGCGUAAAGCGUGCGCAGGCGGUCCGCUAAGACAGAUGUGAAAUCCCCGGGCUUAACCUGGGAACUGCAUUUGUGACUGGCGAGCUAGAGUAUGGCAGAGGGGGGUAGAAUUCCACGUGUAGCAGUGAAAUGCGUAGAGAUGUGGAGGAAUACCGAUGGCGAAGGCAGCCCCCUGGGCCAAUACUGACGCUCAUGCACGAAAGCGUGGGGAGCAAACAGGAUUAGAUACCCCAGUAGUCCCUGUCUCUUAUAC